UGUUUUAGUUUCUUUCUAGAUACCAAAAGAGGAGAAAGAAACCGGCGGUGGCAUUUUCCAAAAUUAGCUUGCAUAUCUGUCCUUUUUUUGACAUUGCCCUAUUCUAUGCCCCAUGAACUUGGUGAUGCUCGAUAUAACAUAUUCCUUCACAUAUUGACUUCUGUGACCUUUGCUUAAAGCAAUAUUGACUUGUUAUUGGAGUAUUGCUCAUGUUGGAUGAGAAAAAACACAACCACAUUGAUGCAAAGAAUAUUAUUGCUCAAAUGGUGGUUUACUUUCGAGUAAGGUUGUCAUUUCUUCAAUAUCCGGUAUCUCUCUCUAGAGUAUGUGUACUUGGAAACUGAGAUAUAGAUUUUUGGAUUUACCUCAUACGGACUUCUUUUAUAGAUUUUUUUAAUAAUCUGUCUUGUCUAGGAUGCUUUGGUGAGACUUAAUGAUGUCAUUAUACAAGAGAAAUCAGAUGGGAAAUCCAAAAAAAUAUAUCUCAGUUAUUAAAGAUUUUAAUGAUGUCAUUAAAGAAGUGCCAAGAUGGGAAAAGAUAUUGAAGUUUCAUGUAGCAGUGAGAGAACAUACAAGCACUUGUGCAGCAGUGGGAGGAAACAACUCUGGGGGGCCAUCAUAUUUGCCAAAACCUGUCAACUCCAUUCAAUGCAUCCAAAUCAGAGUGAAGAAACUCUUCCAGUAAUCACUGAAGCAGUCAACAGAAAACUGGAUAAGAUGAUCAUAGAAGGAGAUUUUCUAGUGCUAACCACAGCAUUUCAAAAACGCCCACAUAAACUUCGUUUCUCAUAGACCAUAUAUGUUGAUACCAAUCACUGUCAUUUGCUAAUUGCUGGAAUUUCCAUCGACAAAAACUCAUGAUAUCUCAGUUGGAGUUGUUUUAGCUAUAAAUUAUUCUGAGGGGUUCUAGCUGAUUAUUCAUAUCAAGAGCAUUUGCAUAAUUUCAAGAUGAUCCCAGGCAUGUGGAGAACGUACGUUAGACCAGAUUUAGAACAAGUUAGUGCAGGGUAACCUAACUAUUUCAGGCAGUUUCAGUAGCUUUAGUACUUGUGCAAAGUUUGAAUGUGACCCCUGCAGUGCUAGUAUAUGUAUGGUUUUGGUCCGAGGUUUGCAGCAUUUGUGUAAUCUGGCAAAGGCAUUUAAAUGUUAGAUAUCAAGCUUGUUGCUUUACUCUGCAAGAUCUCUUUUACAUUAUUUUUGCUAAUGAUACUGUCAAUUUGUAUAUGCAA